rnacentral:rRNA from 1 species
ACGUACACUCCUACGGGAGGCAGCAGUGGGGAAUAUUGGACAAUGGGCGCAAGCCUGAUCCAGCCAUGCCGCGUGAGUGAUGAAGGCCCUAGAGUUGUAAAGCUCUUUCACCGGUGAAGAUAAUGACGGUAACCGGAGAAGAAGCCCCGGCUAACUUCGUGCCAGCAGCCGCGGUAAUACGAAGGGGGCUAGCGUUGUUCGGAUUUACUGGGCGUAAAGCGCACGUAGGCGGACUAUUAAGUCAGGGGUGAAAUCCCGGGGCUCAACCCCGGAACUGCCUUUGAUACUGGUAGUCUUGAGUUCGAGAGAGGUGAGUGGAAUUCCGAGUGUAGAGGUGAAAUUCGUAGAUAUUCGGAGGAACACCAGUGGCGAAGGCGGCUCACUGGCUCGAUACUGACGCUGAGGUGCGAAAGCGUGGGGAGCAAACAGGAUUAGAAACCCUGGUAGUCCCAUGAU